UACGAAGGGGGCUAGCGUUGCUCGGAAUCACUGGGCGUAAAGGGUGCGUAGGCGGGUUUUUAAGUCAGGGGUGAAAUCCUGGAGCUCAACUCCAGAACUGACUUUGAUACUGAAGAUCUUGAGUCCGGGAGAGGUGAGUGGAACUGCGAGUGUAGAGGUGAAAUUCGUAGAUAUUCGCAAGAACACCAGUGGCGAAGGCGGCUCACUGGCCCGGUACUGACGCUGAGGCACGAAAGCGUGGGGAGCAAACAGG
rnacentral:rRNA from 1 species